ensembl:lncRNA
AAAACAAUACUGGCAUAUGCACCCCACCCCCAUGAUUCUGAUUUAUUUGGUCUAGAGUGGGGGCCCUGAGUAUAAAAUCUUCCCAAGGGGUGGGAACCAUAGUAUUAAUGCUCAAUACAUAUUUCUUGCCUGAAUGAACACAGCUCACUCUACAAUUAACGUCAGCAUAACCACACACAACAAAUUAUAUGUGAGAGUGUUUUUAUAUUGAUUUCUAUUCCUCCUUAAUAGGAAUCGGCCGAAUCUCUUUGCCAGCAAUUGUCUCUAUUCUAGUCGAUAUCAGAGUUUUCUUAACACCCUCUCCACCGUUUUUCUCCUUUUAUUUAUGUUACUACCUCUUCUUGGUCACUCUAGGAUGCAUUGGGAAUCUGGCUUCCUCAUAUCAAGAUCCUUGUAAUGAUUGCCUGAUGAGUGAGUUCAUCAGCUGUAUUUAAAAAGUGUUGCCAUACCCCAAGCUCCUCAAAAUGCCCUGUGCGCUCUUUAUUUACUUGAGUCUGUAGCGUCUUCUUCCCAGAAGCCUUUGUUCUGAGCCAUGCUGGCCUGGGUUGGGAGGAGGAGUAAAAAGAUCCACUUCCAAGUUGAAGCUGCACUGAGAAGGCAGCUCCACGGUGCAGAAGUCAAGGAUCCCACGACUCCGUUGUGCAAAGGGGCUCACCCCUCCGUCUCCUUUCCUCAGCCGGAAUAUUACUCAUUCUUGUUUUCUGAGUUUAAUAGUUAUACCCUGCUGUAUCCAUUUUAAUAUUUUAUUCCAACAUGAAUUUUAGUGUAAGAAAGUCUUUCAAAAAAGAAGUUGCCGAAAGCAUACUAUCUGCAGUGCCCAGAACAUUCUGAGGAUUUCUGAGGAACAGAAAGUAGACUACUUCUUGUCACAAAAUGCCUGCCCCAGGAGAGACAGUGCCUUCUGGAAGGGACAAGAUCAAAUGACAGGAGCGGAAUGCUUUACAAGUUCCGAAGCUUGGCACAAAUGAUCAUUGGUAUCAAAAUUAUACUAUCACCAAAAGAAGAAUAAAAAAGCACCCUGCUUACCUGCGUAAAACUUUUCAUCUUACUUGCAAGCUACUGGUGCAGCCAGACCACACAGUCUCGAGAACGUCAGCUCCAGAAGGCCGAGGACUGUCCACUGUCUCCUUCAUCCUGGCACCGAGAAUGGACUUCAGCCCUCACUGCCGUAGCUUCCCUGCCCCUGCUCUCCUGUGCCCAGCGGCUGUCUGUGCACCACAGACCCCUUCGGAAACCUGCGGCUAAGUUAAUCACUGGGUGGCACCCAAGAGCCAGAAAAAAGAUGGAUCAAAUUGCAGACACUCUCUAAUACACAUAUUUUAACAAUUUCCUCCGUCCUCAGCGAAAUUAUGCUAAUAUUUUAGUUGAGUUUCCUCAAGUCUGGAACUCAAAUUAAGUCUGUCUGUUUCAUUUUUAUGAUAGUGCUUGAAAUCACUUGCAGACAAGGGGUUGUAGGGCCAUGAGAUUUAUAGUGGCAAUGCCACAAAGGUCAAACACAUCCUGAGGAAGAGGAAAGCAAUCUGUAGAACCAGUGUUUUCACUGCAAUAAAGUUUAUAGCAGCAUUAAGGGAAUAGUUACAAAUCAGUUGGAUGGUGUUGAUUUCAUUGAGAAUAAGUAUAUUUACACUUGUAGGCUUUCUCUCAAUAAUAUUCUGAAUGUUUUACACAAUGGGGUUAGUCAAGGUUGGACCUGGGCAUAUUUCACGAGUGACAAAAUUUGUUUUUCUUUUUUUCCAUCCAUCCUUCUACUUGUUACUUUCACAAAAUGGGUUUAUAAUGGCUCUGUAGGGGCUGAGUAAAGGGUCAGCAAUUUUCUGACAUUUCCAACAAAGUCAAAGAUGCUGCAGAAACUUUAAAAGUAAAAUGAUUGUUUGCAUGCAUGUAUGUGAUUAAAGAUGAGAUAAAUCUAGAGAAACAAAAUGUUCCUACUACCAAGAAGUGCUUCUUUUUAGGUAAUAAGUGAUUACUUAGUCUUACUGCAGCUAAUGUUGUAUCAUUAGAAUUUCUCAUUGAAUAUUCAAUCCUCAUAUUUAAAGAGUAAAUCACUACCACCCCAUCCUAUAUAAGACCUAUAAAGAAUUAUGUUUAUGUUAAGCACAAUCUUCAUCUUAAAU